GUGCGGACCUCUCCCCGCUGAUUCCAAGCUGGUGGCCACAAUUCACCACCCACGCAUCUCUGCUGUGGGUGGGCAGAUGCUGCAAAGGAAGGCAGCCUCCAUCAACCUCAGGGCCGCAAUGGAAAGGCUCCAGGGUACUCUGCAGACGGGAAGACCCGAGGACCACAAGCCCUGGACCACACCCUGGGUUGCCCCUCGGCCCUGGAGGUGGGCGAGGGGUUCCGUCUCUUUGUCUAGAAACACAGAUUCCCUUUCUUCCCGCUGGACUGGCUGCCCUCUCUGAUGAGGUUCAAAAACGAUCACCGUCCUUCUUAGACCCCCAUUCAGUCCCCACCACCUCCCACCCAAGCAGCAGGCGUCAGCCUCCCGCUGGAGCCCGGAGCCCAGGGUAGAGCUGUUGCAGCUUUACAACUGUCACAAAGGGCCUAGGGAUGGCUUCACUACACAGCUGGAAACCAACAACUGGCAGCCAGCGGCACCCCUCUGCUUGUAAGUGCAGACCCUGCCUCGACCCUGCCUCCCGCCAGCCCACUGUCCACUUGGCUUCCUCAGCGUAUACAGCGUGAUCAGCCACAAAGUUUUCUCGGCUCUCGGCAAUAGGGGGAAGCUGUUGACUUCUGAAAAUAUUUUGCCACUGUCUCAUAGCAACAGACGUUCCCAGUGAAAUAUUGGGGGUCAGGAGUUGAACAUCUGCAGCUGCAUCCCUGACUGUGCCUCCUUCUUUGAAUUUAGUUCAGGAUCAAGAAACCUUAGCUGUCCUCCCAGAUCGAACCCUCAGGGGAAGAAAUGAAGCAGAAUUCCACAUGGAAUUCAUGCAUGGAGUAGGGGAGAUGGGCCUGGACUUCAAAU